UCUGAAAUCUCGCGUUGUUACGUCUCUGGGUUGAGAAACUGGUAGUGGGGGAACAGGAAGUUCCGCGCAGGCGCGCAUUGUUCUUCACAAUAAAGGACACGGCAGAAUUGUGCAGUCGAGACGACAACUUCUGUGUCCGUUUCAAAUAUAUUACUACUGACUGACUCAGAUUAAGUCUGAGGCCGGUAACAUCAACAGUGAAGACAAACCCAGCCUGCCACUCUCCUUCCACACUGUGUCCAAACCUACAGUCACUGAGUCCUGAUUGUGACAGUAGAGCCCAGUUUGCACUGCAGGAUCCAGAGAUGGCAUCAGUGAAGCUGGAAGACUGCAGUCAAACACUGGAGCUGAAUGUCAACAUUAAAGAUGAAGAAGAGGAGGGGAAUAUUGGGACAUCUGUUAGUCAUGACUCAGGUAUGAGGUUGGUAACAUCAACAGUGAGGACAAACCCAGCCUGCCUCUCUCCUUCCACACUGAGUCCAAACCUACAGUCACUGGGUCCUGAUUGUGACAGUGGAGCCCAGUUUUCACUGCAGGAUCCAGAGAUGGCAUCAGUGAAGCUGGAAGACUGCAGUCAAACAAUGGAGCUGAAUGUCAACAUUAAAGAUGAAGAAGAGGAGGAGAAUAUUGGGACAUCUGUUAGUCAUGGUAAGAGCAGGUUCUAUCUGACUAAGUUUGUUGUUCAUUCCAACUUCCCACUGUGUAUGAAAAGUUGCAGUAGAACUGAUGACCAAAAUGACAGGCUACUUUGACAAACGGAGAAUCUGAGGUCAAUAUAAACGACCGUGUCUCUAAUCCAUCAAUAGCCUAGGCCAGGUGUGAGGAGAAACACAUUGUACAAUAUGAGGAGGAAGUUAUAGUCCUAAACAAGCUUUCCAGUUUCACUGACUCACCCAAUGAUGUGCAGCUCACUCACCGAACAAAAGCUUAUCUCUCUUGCUUUACCUUGUAAAAACAAUGCUGUUUGAUCAAUAGGCCUAUGUUUUCCAGCGAUUGGAUUAGAAAUAUUGCUAAAGGCCUGUUUUGGCUGCAUGUUGUUCACUGACAGAUUUGCCACAUGUUCCUGACGGUAGACAUGCCUUGUGAUUUUGGCUACCCACAAUCCACAGCUGGGCUAUUUUAAAUUAGCUAUUGAUCCUCUGUAACUAAAUACUCCUGGUGUUGUAUUGGGAAUGAUUUCAUUUCUUUCUGAACAGACUGCAGAGUCCUGCAGCACCUCAACACACUUCCCACAGCUAUUAUUCUAUCAGGAAAUAAAUGAAGAAGUGCAAUGCUGGAGAGAUGAGUUGUCGGCUCAUGUCUAUAACAGCACAGAGAGGGAGAGAGAUCAUAGAAAGUGAAUCUCAUUUUAGUUCUAUGAGAGAUACAGGCGUGCUUCUCUCUCACCACAGGAAUGGCCACGCCUUGGUCUAAAUAGGCUACAAUGUUGCAGAAACCAUAAACCUGGUUCGGCCCAACAUUAAUACAUUCUUAUAACAUCAGGCACGUUUUUUAUGGGGCAUGAUAAUUACAGAGGAAUCCAAAUGUAAUUACUCUUGAUUGCUUUUAUGCAGAUUUUUGCGUGAUGAAAUACUUUUUCAUGUCACAAGAGGUAGGCUACCUGAUCCUGGCAAAUGGAUUCCGGAACGAAAGACUACAAAACUGAGAGGUGCCGGAAGAUCUGGCUCAAAUUAAGCACCACCGUUCUCAUAUAAUGAGGUAGGGCCAUCCCAAGGAUCCCUGAAUGCAACGACGGUUGCACCAAACCAAGAUGGAAACAACUGGCUGUGGUCUAAUGGGAACAGAUGAGUCAUAGUGGGCAGAGCCAAGCAUGAGCUAGUACUAAAUGUGGGAAAUCUACUAUAGAUUCACUUACGUUGCGUAGCCUAAUUUAUAGCGUGUACUUUGUCUAAUGUGAGUUAAUUAAUGUUUUGUUGUCAAUGCUUAGCUACCAGAUCUAUUGAACUGAGAUCAGUCCUCAGCUCACCGGAGCUGAGUAUCGGCACCUAUUUCAGUCCAAGCACUGAAUUAGAUAAUUGAACAAAAAUAAAUAUUAUAUUUUUAUAUAUAUAUUUUUUUAAAUAAGCAAGUGCCAGAACUGUCAAGACUAACUUUUUUUCUUAUCUUUUUUUUCUGUUUCUCAUUGUUACUACAUACAGGACGACUAGAAUUAAGUCUGAGGCCGGUAACAUCAAUAGUGAGGACAAACCCAGCCUGCCUCUCUCCUUCCACACUGAGUCCAAACCUACAGUCACUGAGUCCUGAUUGUGACAGUGGAGCCCAGUUUGCACUGCAGGAUCCAGAGAUGGCAUCAUUGAAGCUGGAAGACUGCAGUCAAACACUUGAGCUGAAUGUCAACAUUAAAGAUGAAGAAGAGGAGGAGAAGAUUGGGAAAUCUGUUUCUCAUGGAGACCAUGUUGAGACAUUCUCUACAUCUAGAGAGCAACAGCAGGAAGAUCACAGAGCUAAGAGGUCUCACCACUGCCAACAUUGUGAGGAGAUUUUCCCAUUUCUAUCAAAGCUAAAAACACACCUACAAAUACACACUGGAGAGAAUCCCUAUUCCUGUACUGACUGUGGGAAGAGAUUCACAACACCAGGAGCUUUGGCAGUUCAUCAGAGAGUGCACACUGGAGGGAAGCCUUUCUUCUGCUCUGACUGUGGAAAGAGUUUCUCUCUACUGGGCAACUUAAAAACACAUGAACGUAUACAUACAGGAGUGAAGCCUUACUCCUGCUCUGACUGUGGACAGAGUUUCUCUCGACUGGGCCACUUAAAAACACAUGAACGUAGACAUAUUGGAGUGAAGCCAUACUCCUGCUCUGACUGUGUAAAAUGCUUCACAACAUCAGCUCAGCUAAAAGAUCAUCAGAGAACACACACAGGAGAGAAGCCUUUCUUCUGCUCUGACUGUGGAAAUAGUUUCUCUCAACUUUCCCACUUAAAAACACAUGAACGUAUACAUACAGGAUUGAAGCCUUACUCCUGCUCUGACUGUGGAAAGAGUUUCUCUCAAAUGGGCCACUUAAAAAGACAUGAACGUAGACAUAUUGGAGUGAAGCCUUACUGCUGCUCUGACUGUGUAAAAUGCUUCACAACAUCAGCUGAGCUAAAAGAUCAUCAGAGAACACACACAGGAGAGAAGCCUUUCUUCUGCUCUGACUGUGGAAUUAGUUUCUCUCAACUUUCCCACUUAAAAACACAUGAACGUCUACAUACAGGAUUGAAGCUUUACUCCUGCUCUGACUGUGGAAAGAGUUUCUAUCAAAUGGGAAACUUAAAAAGACAUGAACGUAUACAUACAGGAGAGAAGCCUUACUCCUGCUCUGACUGUGGAAAGAGUUUCUCUCUACCAGGCACCUUAAAAACACAUGAACGUAUACAUACAGGAGUGAAGCCUUACUCCUGCUCUGACUGUGUAAAAUUCUUCACAACAUCAGCUGAGCUAAAAGUUCAUCAGAGAACACACACAGGAGAGAAGCCUUACUCCUGCUCUGACUGUGGAAAGAGUUUCUCUAGACUGAGCCACUUAAAAAGACAUGAACGUAGACAUAUUGGAGUAAAGCCUUACUGCUGCUCUGACUGUGUAAAAUGCUUCACAACAUCAGCUGAGCUAAAAGUUCAUCAGAGAACACACACAGGAGAGAAGCCUUACUCCUGCUCUGACUGUGGAAAGCGUUUCUCUCGACUGAGCCACUUAAAAAGACAUGGACGUAUACAUACAGGAGUGAAGCCUUACUCCUGCUCAGACUAUGGAAAGAGGUUCUCUCUACUGGGCAUCUUAAAAAGCCACCAAGGUAAACAAAGUAGAGAAGCCUUGCCACUGAUCUGACUGUAGAGAACACACAAAGAACUGAACCUUACUUCUUCCUUGAGGUUUUUAAGCUAACUAGACUGCACAAUUGUGGUUUUUUUUAUAUUACUAUAUUACAGAUAGCCAGGGGUGCACUCCAACACCAACACCAUUUACAAACAAAGCAUUUGUGUUUAGUGAGUCCGCCAGAUCAGAGGCAGUGGGGAGGACCAGGGAUGUUAUCUUGAUAAGUGUGUGAAUUGGACCAUUUUCUGUCAUGCUAAUCAUUUCAAAAAAUGUAAUGAGUACUUUUGGGUGUCAGGGAAAAUGUUUGGAGUAAAAAGUACAUGAUUUACUUUAGGAUUUUGCAAAAUAAAAGUAAAAGUUGCACAAAAUAUUAAUAGUCAAGUAUAGAUACCCCCCCAAAAGUACUUUACACCCCUUCAUGCCUCCAUGCUGUGUGUCAGCAUUGCAGGCUGGUGGUGUGAUGGUUGGGGUGUGUUUUCAGGGCACACAUUGGGCCUCUUGAUAAAAGCUGAGCAAUGUUUGAAUGCCACAGGAUAUCUAAAGAAUUACUGCCAAUCAGGUGCCUCCCUUCAUGGCAGCAGUGUAUCCAUCUGCAAGUUGUUUUCUUCAGCAGGAUUAUGCCACAAGACUUGUCCAGGAAUGGUUCCAAUAACAUUACACUGAAUUCACUGUAAUUGUGCAUCUGUGGGAGGAGAUGGAACGAGCUAUUCAGAGUAGAUCCACUCCCAGCCAACUUGACACAAUUGUAGGAAGCAUUAGAGUCAACAUGGACCAGCUUCCCUGUGAACUGCACACAACACCUUGGACAGUCUAUGCCCUGACGAUUUUAGGAUGUUCUGAGGAUAAAGGGGGUGCAACUCUAAUAGGAAGGUGUUCCUAAUGUUUUGUACACACUGUGUAUAUCAGAUAAAGAUGGUCUGAUGAUCAGUUUUCAGCUUUAGUUCGGGUGGAUUAUUUUAUAUUACUAAACAACUUUUGUUUAAUGAUAAACAGGCUAUGAAUCGACUACUUGUGUUUAUUAAACUGUAUUUUAAUAUUAGAUUCAUUAUUUUAGUCAUUGAUGAUGAAUGUAUUUGAAUAACUGUAUUGAAGUUAAUUGAUCUGGUGGCAGGUAGCCAGCGGUUAAGAGUGUUGGGCCAGUAACUGAAAGGUUGCUGGUUUGAAUCCCGAGCCGACUAGGUGAAAAAUCUGGCAUUGUACCCUUGAGCAAGCCAUUUAACUAUUAUUUGUCCUGUAAGUCUCUCUGUAUAAAAACAUCUGCUAAAUGACAAGAAUGCAAUGAAAAAUAAUGUUUGUACAUGAAUUCAUGCUGGGCAGCCACUUUUUUUCUCAUGUAUAUAAUUAAAUGAAAUAAACUGAAGUGACAUACUGUAUAUACAAUACACAACAUUACCACUUUGUUUACCCUGGUCAGAGGGACAGGAACAUAGUAAACUAGACUGUGUAACUGCUGUUGUUAGUAGCCUACAGUUUCCAUGUAAUACAGCAUGUCAGAUCACUAAUGAUUAGGUGUAUAGACUGCUACAUUUAUGCAAGAGUUUUUGCUUGUGUCUAUCGGGAGAGAUGUGUUAUCAGCUUGUUAAAUAACUAAUGGUGGGAAGUGGAGAGGCGUCUCUAACUAAAUGUAGCUCCAAAGGAACUCUAAUUAAAGGAAUAGUUCAAUCAAAUUACAAAUGUCCACCUUGGUUUCAUCACCCUGUAAACAAUCCAAAUAAUGUGCACUUCAGCAGUGAAGUUCUGUAGAUGGAGGACUUUCAGUACAGCAGUGUUCCCCAAUCCUGGUCCCAAAGGGGUGUACAUGUGUGUUUUUGCCCUCACACUCACAUACCUUAUUCAAUUCAAAGGCUUGAGUUGUUUAGUUGAAUCCAGUGUGUGAGUGUUAGGGGCAAAAACAAAAAAGCAUUCCCCUUUGUGUCCCCUGGACCAGGAUUGGGAAACACUGCAGUACACAGCAAAAAGUGUGAUGAUUCAAAAUAUUAUAUCUAUUUUACAGUUUGAAGUCCUGUAUGUAAAAUGACUUGGUUUGUAUUCAGGGGAUGAGGUAUGUAUUCAAGUGUGUGCUCAAGAUUUGUGGUGUUUACUCAGGAGAUUAAUCUCUGAUUUUGGCAGCGCCAUUCUUACACCUUCGCAGCAUUGCACUGUGGUUCUUCAAUGUUUUCCUGCUGCUGUUCGAACGGAUAAAACAUUUGUGGAUCUUUAGAAAAAUGUCUCCUGUAUCUGUCGUUUCCAUCACGUUGCAAUGAUUGUUUUGCUAAAUGUUUUUGUUUUAGACUUGGCCCAAUGGAGACCUGUCCAGUGAUGCCAUCUCUAGAUCCUGCAGCGCAACAAGUCUCCACUGUCAAUCAGGACCCAGUGACUGUAGGUUUAGAAUCUGUUUGGAAGGCAGUGUGAAAGGAGAGAGGCAGGCUGGGUUUGUCCUCACUGUUAACCUGUCAACUCUGUCUGAGAUCAACCUCCUCCCUUAUGCAGGCCACACCCCCUCCCAUUGUUACUGUGUGUAUGAUCACAUUUUGAACAAUGGCUUCCUAAAAUGCGGUGGUGCUUACUAACCCAAUAGGAAAGGUUCUGGUAGAUGUGGACCAUCACACGUGAGGUCACAGCUCUUUCACUCUAAACAUUCAUAUCAAUGACUCACCCUCAAAUGGACCAUCAAUACCAGAGUUCUCCAAUACUAUUUACAUAAUCAACUGGGCAUUACAACAGUCUGACCCUCAAUAUAGUCCUGGGUAUAUAUUGAGCUCUAACAAUGGGUCAUGGAAAAGGUCUGUUGAAAUGAAUACUGUAGUGAUGUGAGAAAGGUAACACGAGCUUCCUCUCUGGUUCCAUUCCCCCAAUAGUAACUGGGUCAUUAUUGGAUUGUGGUGGUAAUGCUGUCCCUGGACUUUGGCACCAUAAAAAGACUAAUAAUGCAUUACAAUACUAUGCUGACAUAUGAGAUGGUUUUAAGAAGGUCGUACCAUGGAUUGUUUAGAUCAUUUAUUUUGUAUUUUAGGACAUUAGGUAUAAUCAUGAUUAAAAAUGAUUUGAUAAAA